rnacentral:rRNA from 1 species
UACGGGGGGGCAAGGCGUUGUUCGGAAUUACUGGGCGUAAAGGGCGCGUAGGCGGCGACCCAAGUCAGAUGUGAAAGUCCUGGCUUAACCUGGGGACUGCAUUUGAUACUUGGGUUGCUUGAAUUCGGGAGAGGAUAGCGGAAUUCCCAGUGUAGGAGGUGAAAUUCGUAGAUAUUGGGAAGAACACCGGUGGCGAAGGCGGCUAUCUGGACCGACAUUGACGCUGAGGCGCGAAAGCGUGGGGAGCAAACAGG